rnacentral:rRNA from 1 species
UGGGGAAUACUGCACAAUGGGCGAAAGCCUGAUGCAGCGACGCCGCGUGUGGGAUGACGGCCUUCGGGUUGUAAAUCACUUUCAGCAGGGAAGAAGCUUUUUGUGACGGUACCUGCAGAAGAAGCGCCGGCUAACUACGUGUCAGCAGCCGCGGUAAUACGUAGGGCGCGAGCGUUAUCCGGAAUUAUUGGGCGUAAAGAGCUCGUAGGCGGUUUGUCGCGUCUGCUGUGAAAGCCCGGGGCUCAACCCCGGGUGUGCAGUGGGUACGGGCAGACUAGAGUGCAGUAGGGGAGACUGGAAUUCCUGGUGUAGCGGUGAAAUGCGCAGAUAUCAGGAGGAACACCGAUGGCGAAGGCAGGUCUCUGGGCUGUUACUGACGCUGAGGAGCGAAAGCAUGGGGAGCGAACAG